GCUUGACGCGCCUCUGACGCGAAAAAUAAUAAAUUGUUUGGACGGGUAAAGAAAGGGCAGCUGUUUUGUGACGUGUCCGCUAAUUGAUGUCACAGGUUAUUAGACUUGUUAUCUCUGCCGGUUGAAGGAACCUGCACAGCGAAGCCACGCCUUUUGGGUGUCACGUGAUUCAAUCGCCCAAUCACAGCGCGGGAGGGAUCCCGCCUCUCCCCUCAUUGGCCGCUUGUGACGCAAUCAAGACACGCCACUGGUCUGUCCACAGACCGCAAUCAGCUGGAGACUAGAAGCGGUUAGUAUGUUUUAAAACGACUUUGGGAUGAUCCCGUUCACAAGAGAAAGACAAUUAUACUGUAGGCUACAUAUGUGUGUUCGUGCACUGUCUGGGAAACUAUACUUAAACCAGAUGGCGCAUCAGAAAUAGCUAAUAUAGCCCACACGCAUGGACUGUCUGUCGCGUAGGAUGACGUAAUACACCUGCGCCGAGGUUGUGGCUGGCGUGAGCAGUAACGCGAGUGAAGGUUCUGCUAUAAAAACAAAAAGAUCUGAGUCGAGUCAAUACUGGGAAUAACGGAAAAACCACACUUGUCGCUUGGAGAGUGAAAGACCCAUAAUACCCCAAUUCCCCAUGGUUCCCUCUUGGUGACGCUGACGCAGCCCCACGAUCUCCAGCCGGCCGCUUGGGAGACAUGGCGAGUUCGACAACCAGGUGCACCUGGUGCCCGUGCCGCAAGCACAAGAUCCCCUCGAAGGAUACUCACGAGCUGUGUCUGCACUGCCUGGGUAUCCAGCACGCCAAGGAGGCCGUACUGGAGUACGGCAAAUGCCCCCACUGUGCCAAGCUGGACUGGAGCACGUGCAUCAAUCGGCUGACUAAGGUACAGGAGGUGAUCCAUCGAGAGAGCCAGCAGAAGAAAUCGGAAGCAGCCCAGUCCGAGCCGGUAAAGCCGGCCGAUUCUUCCCAGAGCGGCGAUCCCAAGAUCCCCAAAGAGCUCGGACCUGCCCAGCCUCCGCCCGUUUCCAGUCCCAGUCUGGCGACCCCCGUGCAUGUCGCCCCAGUAGCCGACCAGCAGCCGGGUUUUUCCCCCUCCCCGGCGGGGCAGCCCUCCGGCUCCCACAAAGCCUCCUGCCAGCGCAAGAGGCGGCGCUCCUCGGAGUGCCACUCCCGAUGCUCCAGGCACUCGAAGCGGGGCCAUGGUUACAGAUGCAGGAAGUCUCCCUGCUUCUCCUCCUCGUCCCCCCACUACUCCAGUUCCUCCGAUUCCUCGCGCCCCUCGACGCGGAAGAGGAGGUCGUGGUUCGCGGCCCACACGGCGGACGUGCUGAGGAAACAGCAGGAGCAGCUCCUGGAGGGGGUGCGUCAGAGGCUGGAGGCGCAGCAGCAGACGAUGCACUUGCAGUGGAGCUUGCUCGAGAAACGCCUGGAGGCCCUGGAAAAGAAACAAAUGGAGACCCCCCCCAAGGGCGCGACUGGUGGGGCUUCGGCUCCCGGGAAUUCAGACGCCUCCACCUCCACGCCCGAGGGGAGACGAGACGCGGCUCCCGACCCAGCCAGAAAAGACUGGUCGGGCCCGGCUGCCGACGGCACCGGGACCACGGCUUCCGGUUCCGCCCCCGUGAAGGAGGAGGAGGAGCCGGCGCUGAUCACGGCGGGCGUGAAGUUGGAGGACGGCGGUGACGGAGAGGGGGAGGAUGUUUCUCUGCUGCCAGAAGUCCCCCUCACCAUGCAGGAACUUCUCAUGGCCACCGAGCUGCAGGGGCUUAUCAGCCGGGCUGCCAGAUACCUGGGCAUCGACUUCCCAGGCACGCCAAACAACCUGACCUCGCCAGACCCCACCAUGGUCCCCGAGUUCGAAAAUCUGGUUCAGAGCACGUGGUCCAACCCGGCCUGUUCCAGGCCUUUCCGGGCGGUCCAUUCCAAGAUGUACCGGCUGCACGAGUGCCAGGCUCUUCCCUACGACAGGAUGCCCCAGGUGAACCGCUUUAUGUCGGCCAUCUUCCAGGCCGUGAAGCCUACGGAGAACAAGGAGGCCUUGGCGCCUGCCAGGCGCUGGCGUUUCACGGAGACGCUUGCCGAGAGGGUGUACCAGACGGCCGGCAUGCUGGCGAGGACCGCCAACUACCUGCGGUACCUGUCGGACUACCAGAAACGCCUCUUGGUGGAGAUAACCGAGGACAAGCCAGCGGUCCGGUUUGUGGCCGUCCUGAAUGAGCUCAAGCUAAUCGCGCAGUUCACUCUUCAGCUGUCUUCCCAUCAGGCUGAGCUCUCGGGCAGGAUUAUGGCCUCCUCGGUAGCCAUUCGCCGGCAGGUUUGGAUGGCCAAAACCAGUUACACAGAUGCGUUGAAAGCCACAGUUGCAGACUUGCCCUUUGUGGUCAGUCACACCUUUGGGGCCGGAGCAGAAACUGCCAUGAGUGACAUCGUCUAUCUCUUUAAAGCAACCUGAAGAGCUGGAAAAAGCUGCUCUAUUGAAGACCUAAUCGGUGAGCUGAUUAGGAGCCGAGUUUGAAUGAAAACCUGCAGACACACCAGUCGCCAUGACCAGAGCCGAAGACUGCUGGCACAGAGGCACGUGGUCACCCAUCUUCCACAGCUCCUGAAUGUUUUUACAUUUACGAUUUUUCUCUUUCUUUAUGACCCAUGUAGUGCAAGAUACACCCCUCUUCCAAUUCCUGUUUGACGUACAGCAUUAAAAAUUGAGGGUGGGUGUGACAGGCUUGUUAUGGGAGACAGCAUAUGCAGUUAUCAUGCCCAUUGUACUGAUAUAAGGCUAUGAAUCAAAAUAGUGAA
ensembl:lincRNA